rnacentral:rRNA from 1 species
GACGAACGCUGGCGGCGUGCUUAACACAUGCAAGUCGAACGGUAAGGCCCUUCGGGGUACACGAGUGGCGAACGGGUGAGUAACACGUGGGUGAUCUGCCCUGCACUUCGGGAUAAGCCUGGGAAACUGGGUCUAAUACCAGAUAGGACCACUGCCUGCAUGGGUGGUGGUGGAAAGCUUUUGCGGUGUGGGAUGGGCCCGCGGCCUAUCAGCUUGUUGGUGGGGUGAUGGCCUACCAAGGCGACGACGGGUAGCCGGCCUGAGAGGGUGACCGGCCACACUGGGACUGAGAUACGGCCCAGACUCCUACGGGAGGCAGCAGUGGGGAAUAUUGCACAAUGGGCGCAAGCCUGAUGCAGCGACGCCGCGUGAGGGAUGACGGCCUUCGGGUUGUAAGCCUCUUUCAGCACCGACGAAGCGCAAGUGACGGUAGGUGCAGAAGAAGGACCGGCCAACUACGUGCCAGCCGCCGCGGUAA